GAUGAACGCUAGCGGGAGGCCUAACACAUGCAAGCCGAGCGGUAGAGUUUCUUCGGAAACUUGAGAGCGGCGCACGGGUGCGUAACACGUGUGCAACCUACCUUUAUCUGGGGGAUAGCCUUUCGAAAGGAAGAUUAAUACCCCAUAAUAUAAUGAUUGGCAUCAAUUAUUAUUGAAAACUCCGGUGGAUUGAGAUGGGCACGCGCAAGAUUAGAUAGUUGGUGAGGUAACGGCUCACCAAGUCAAUGAUCUUUAGGGGUCCUGAGAGGGAGAUCCCCCACAAUGGUACUGAGACACGGACCAGACUGCUACGGGAGGCAGCAGUGAGGAGUAUUGGACGAUGGGUGAUAGCCUGAUCCAGCCAUCCCGCGUGAAGGAUGACGGUCCUAUGGAUUGUAAACUUCUUUUGUACAGGGAUAAACCUACCCUCGUGAGGGUAGCUGAAGGUACUGUACGAAUAAGCACCGGCUAACUCCGUG
rnacentral:rRNA from 1 species